rnacentral:rRNA from 1 species
GACGAACGCUGGCGGCGUGCUUAACACAUGCAAGUCAAGGGGCCCAGCAAUGGGCAACCGGCGAACGGGUGCGUAACACGUGAGCAACCUACCGAAAUGUGGGGGAUAGCCGGCCUAACGGCCGAGUAAUACCGCAUACGCUCUCGAUGAGGCAUUUCAUUGAGAGAAACCUACGGGACAUUUCGAGGGCUCGCGGCCUAUCAGCUAGUUGGCGAGGUAACGGCUCACCAAGGCGACGACGGUAGCUGGUCUGAGAGGAUGGCCAGCCACAUUGGGACUGAGAUACGGUCCAGACUCCUACGGGAGGCAGCAGUGGGGAAUCUUGCGCAAUGGCCUAACGGCUGACGCAGCGACGCCGCGUGUGGGAUGAAGC